rnacentral:lncRNA from 1 species
GGCGAGGCAGACGGUGCCGUUGCGGGCGGUGAGGCUGUAGUCCUCGCCGGCCUUGCAGAAGACGCGCACGGCGUNUUGCACCACUCCCAGAGCACGACGGUGGUGCCGUCGUGCACGCCGCCGUGGUCCUUGUCGCCGUUGAGGGCGUCAAAGCCGAGGCGGGGGUUGNGUUGACCAUGCGGAUGCAGCGGAAGCCCUUGCCCACGUCCUUGCUCUCCGUCCACAGCACCGACGCGUCCUCGUACGCCGGGUUGAACGGCACCAGCUUCACCUGCGAUCCGUCCACGCGCAUGUCAAGAACUCAAGAUCGACGGAUCGAUGGAUCGAAAAGAAGGGCGUGAUGAUCGAUCGAAAAGAAGGACUUACGGGGUGGGACUGGCCGAUGGAGUGCUUGACGGCGAGGCCGGUGGCCUUGUUGACGAGCGCGAAGGCCGGCAUGCCCUCCUCGUCCUUGACGGUGGUGCUGAAGCGCAUGUCCUUGAGCCAGUGCUGGGUCUCGUCCUUGGGGUUGACGGGGGCGAGCACGACCUCGCCGUCGCGGACGGCGAGGCAGUAGUCCUCGGAGGCCCGGCAGUAGAUCUUGAAGAUCUGGUUGGGGCCGGACGCCGCCGGCGCCUGGUCCUUGUGGUGGUGCCCGAACCCGAACAUCUUGGCGGCGAGGAGAGCGUGUCUGAUCGGCUAGACUGGUUGGAGCUGUGCGAGUGAGGAGAGAGCGCUGCCCGAUGGCGCCAUUAUAUAGAGCCGAGAGCAGAGCAGAGCAGACCAGAGUCACCACUCACGCGCUGUAGAUAGUAAAAUCUUGAAAAUCUUUGGACCAUAUCUCCAGCGGCCUGGAAUAAAUGGCGGAAAGUAAUUGUAGGAUACGCUCGCUCGAUCGCUGCCAGUACAGUACAGUACAUCACAGCACUAGCCGUUUGGCCAAGAUUUUGGUUGCAUUAGCAAGAUUUUGGUCCGAUUAACAGCAGUGGCCGGUUGAUGCCAGUACCAAGUUUUGGUUCGAUUCAGCACUCAACAUUAGCUGUAUCCAUGCAAAUAUGCAAUGGCCAAAAAUGCCAGCAGCAUACCAUAUAAUUUUUUCUGUGUAUUACUAGUAGUUGAUCAUCCUUAGAGGCUAAGUAUCCUACUGUACUAAUUAAAGACUACAUAUUUGACUCUGCUCUUGGAUUUAUCUUGGUCCUGCAGCAGUAGCACUCCAGCAUCAGGCUUCGGCUCACACUUGGCAUUGCCUUGCAACAUACUAGCCGUUUGGUGUGAAUGUACUGGAAGGUUCUGGUUCGAUUCACCUACCCCCAGUGUUUUCCUCGGCAUUAACUUUGCAUUAGCUGUAUGCAUGCAAAUACGCAAUGCCAGCACGCCGGCGGUGUGAAUUGGAUUAUGGAGUACGGUUAGUGUUCUUGUAUUUUGUAGUCCAUCCAUUGACUCAUCCUAGCAGUGUUCUCUUCUAGCAAACUCAUCCUUAGAGGUUAAGCAUCUCUAUAAGUAAAGACUAGAUAUUUUACAGUUUUUUGAAUUAUUUUGUCCAUUUAUUUACUAACUAUUUGUAGUGUUUAAGGUGCUACCGUCUAAGGCUGCCUUGCCUUCUCGGUUGUCGUCGGCCCAAGUAGGCCGCCCUGAGGCCCUUUGGAUCGGUUCCGCAAUGGGCCAUCGGUUCGGUCCAUGGGCCUUUCCUCCACCGAUGUAGCCGACUAGGUUGUGUAACUCGUGGGGUCCGGAUGUUAUAUAAGUCGGGGUUGAGCUAGUCGAUAGGUCAUUAUAUAAUCAUGCCGUUUAUACCUUUAUACAUGCAAUCAUAGUAUGCACAUAGUAGGAAUAGAGUUCUACCUCUUUCAGAGGGGCCGAACCUAAGUAAAUCGCCUCAUGUUUUCCCUCUGCCCCAAUCGUCAUGUCCGGAUACCCUAUUGAGGGAUCUGUCGGAUUUAGCUCUCACAGUCUUUGUUCUUGAAAGAACAAAUGCCAUAUAUAAUAAGUUUUACAGAUGCUUACAAGAUUACCAUUACAAAAACCGGAAGAUACAUCAAAAUUCCUGGGGUGCCAAAAUACUACUUCUCCUGCAUCGACACACGUCGUGCUGUGAGGAAAACCCGUUAUCGUGUAUGCUACCAUUCCUUAAAACUCGGGAGUUUGUAGAAGCGAUGAUUUGGAAGCCGUUGAUGUAGACUAGUAGAUGACGAUGACCGCAAUGUAUGUAGCAGAUCACUUCUCCCUAGAAGAAAACACCGGAGAGGGCAUGUAUAUCACCCUAGGUCCGGCGAGAUGGAUUCUAGAAACACAAAACUCUUACACGCUCCACCACAAGAGUGAAGUUUGUGAAUCUUUCUCUGUGAGAACUAGAGCGAGAGAAUCAAGACACAGUCCUGCCAUCUAAGACAAACAUGCAGAAGAAAAGCCCCAACCUCCCUCCGAUAACAUCUCCACUUUCUUGGCUUGCUACAACACGUCACCAUCACUAUUGGCCCGGUUCCAUCACCGUCAACAUCGUGGACCUUCGCCAAGAUGAUGCCCCCUUCUUCACCUCCUUCCUUUACCGUCGUCGGCACUCCUUCUUCGAUUUUUGUCCAUCUAUGCUCACCCCUCGACAUUUCGAGCACACCUACGUGUUCUUGGUGAGAAACUAGACCCCUGCACCCCUCGAUAGGCUCCUGCAUCAUUUGAUUUGGCAUGGGCCCAAGGCACCUCCGCCACGGCAUGGUCGUCGGCUGGUCUCUAGUGACCCUUUGCUCCCGCCCGUUGUGUCGCUGCACACGCACCGUCGCGUGGGUCGUUUUUGCCGAACUUGUUGAUUCGCCCUUCCCUCUGAUACAACCCCAAAAUCUGGUUUCUAAUCCCUACAAGACAUUGCAAUCUUGCGUCGUCUAGAAGCACAUUUCCAGCAUAUGAUUGUGACACCACGAGAGGGUUAUAUACCAGUAACAAGGUGAAAAUCACGACAAAUACAACUACGAACAUAAGAGUAAUACGAUAUAUGUUAGGCAUACAUAUGUCGAUAGAUAAAUAUUCCACCAAACAUAGGCAACAUGACCCAACAUUGCAUGAAUCAUACAAGCAAGAAGGCACGAGUCCGAGUACAUACAAGAAGGAAAUAUGCCUAAGGGGCCAAAGAAAUAAGCAACAUCCACCUUGCUAAUCCGAGGCUAGUGAUGUCUACUACGCAACAUUCUCCUUGUAGACGUUGUUGGGCCUCCAAGUGCAGAGGUUUGUAGGACAGUAGCAAUUUUCUCUCAAGUGGGUGACCUAAGGUUUAUCAAUCCGCGGGAGGCGUAGGAUGAAGAUGAUCUCUCUCAAGCACCCUGCAACCAAAUAACAAAGAGUCUCUUGUGUCCCAAACACACCCAAUACAAUGGUCAGUUGUAUAGGUGCACUAGUUCGGCGAAGAGAUGGUGAAAUAAGUGCAAUAUGGAUGGUAGAUAUAGGUUUUUGUAAUCUGAAAUUACAAAAACAACAAGGAAACAAAUGGUAAAAGUGAGCACGAACGGUAUUGCAAUGCGUGGAAACAAGGCCUAGGGUUCAUACUUUCACUAGUGAAGUUCUCUCAAAAAAGAUAACAUAAUUGGAUCAUAUAACUAGCCCUCAACAUGCAACAAAGAGUCACUCCAAAGUCACUAAUAGCGGAGAACAAACGAAGAAAUUAUUGUCGGAUACGAAACCACCAUAAAGUUAUUCUUUCUGAUCGAUCUAUUUAAGAGUUCGUACUAGAAUAACACCUUAAGAUACAUAUCAACCAAGACCCUAAUGUCACGUAGAUACUCCAUUGUCACCUCAAGUAUCCGUGGGCAUGAUUAUACGAUAUGCAUCACAGAAUCUCAGAAUCAUCUAUUCAACCAACACAUAGGACUUCAAAGAGUGCCCCGAAGUUUCUACCGGAGAGUCAAAACGUGUGCCAACCCCUAUGCAUAGGUUCUCAAUGUCACGAACCCGCAAGUUGAUCACCAAAACAUACAUCGAGUACUCACAUGAAUCCACGUGUGCCAACCCAUACAUAGGUUCCCAAUUGUCACAAACCCGCAAGUUGAUCACAGCAGAUAGACACGUGCAAGAUAUACAUCAAGUGUUCUCAAAGACUCAAUCCGAUAAGAUAACUUCAAAGGGGAAACUCAAUUCAUUACAAGAAGGGAGAGGGGGAAGAACAUCAUAAGAUCCAACUAUAGUAGCAAAGCCCACGGUACAUCGAGAUCAAGACAUCUCAAGAACACGAGAGAGAGAGAUCAAACACAUAGCUACUGGUACAUACCCUCAGCCCCGAGGGAGAACUACUCCCUCCUCGUCAUGGAGAUCGUCGGGAUGAUGAAGAUGGCCACCGGAGAUAGAUUCCCCCUCCGGCAGGGUGCCGGAACGGUCUCCAGAUUGGUUUUUGGUGGCUACACAGGCUUGCGGCGGCGGAACUUCCGAUCUAGGUUUCUUUCUGGAGGUUUCCGUAUUUAUAAGACUAGAUGGCGUCGAGAACAAGUCAGGGGGACCCACGAGGGAGUCACACGCCCUUGGGGCGCGGCCAGGGGGGUGGGGGCGCCCCCAGGCUUGUGGCUUCCUCGGGACUCUUCUCCGGUAUAUUUUUCUUCUGGUAUUUUUGAUAUUUUCCAGAAAAAAUCUUUUCGGGGAUUUUCUUCCUUUUGGACUCCGUUUCAAAAUCUCCUCUGAAAGGGGUCAAAAAUAUGGAAAAAGCAGGAACUGGCACUUGGCACUGAGUUAAUAAGUUAGUCCCUAAAAAUAUAUAAAAGGCAUGCAAAACAUCCAAAGUUUGACAAGAUAAUAGCAUGGAACCAUCAAAAAUUAUAGAUACGUUGAAGACGUAUCAACUAGCAAGUUGGAUGAUAUGCUAAUGAUCGUCAUCGAAGAGCAACGCCAAAUAUAGUGUAUCAUGCUCUCACCUUGGAGCAAUGCUUUACUUGUAAUUGCACUUGUGCGUGUUGUAGUAUCUGUGGGCCUUUAGGACUUCACAAGUCUCGUUACCAAGGGUAUCACACGAAAACUACUUAAUGGGUUGGGAUGGUUAAGUUGUGAUGUUGCAACAAGCACUAGUCCGAUGAGUACUAGAACAAGAUAAGAUAAGAUAAAUCCUACCCAUAAGGGGGUGGCAAUUAGAUAAUCAAUAAGUUACCCUAAACACUAUGUACAAAUUUUGCUUGCAUUCCCACAAGAAGUGAUUGUCGUGGUACACACACGGUUUGUAAGUUUUAGUUAUUAGUUGAAGUUCUCUACAACUGGAUAUUGUAAUUUUUGAAGUCAUGUGUAACCGUGGGCAUGGCUUUUCAAAAGAUUUAACCCUGUAUGGGUCCUACUAAUUCCUCCAUGGUAGAUUUCCGCGCGCAUACCCGUUCCUCCAAGUCCAUGGCCCAUGGGAACCCUCGUGCAAAGCAUGAUGUGUUUCAGGAAUUUUGGAGCAACAAAUCCUCGAUCUAAUGUAGAACUAGCAGCUAGAGAGGCCUCCCGAUGAGUCUUAUUGGGCUAUGAGCCGCACACACUGUAUCCUCAGACCCAUUCGUCUAUGCCAAGUGGAUAGUGAACCAAAACCUCGAGUUUUUCCAUGGUGGAACCUCACUUCUAGGUAGGGGCCAACGCUUUUUCGAGCACCCGCCUAAGUUAUUUCAAAAGUACCUUGAGGGGUGACCCUCUAUGCGACUUUUAUGUUGGAUAAUGUUAACAAAAAUGUUGCACCUCUCUGGAAAAGUUUAGUGCUAGAUAAAGAGGUCAAGGGGAGCCUCAUAAUCCCCACACAUAUUAUGAGCGCUCGUAGAAAACAUAAAACUAGGGUUACGAAACUAAGAGAACAACAGUGAAACAAAUCACCGGGGCAUAGGUAUGAGAUUUCCAUCCUUUACCAAGUGUAUAGUCAAGAUUAGUUAAAUAAGCAAGAUAUGAUAUCUCAGGAUGUCCAUAUCUCAACAUGGAACAACCUGCACCUACAAGUAGCAAAUCUAUAAAAGGAGCCGAGCAAGCGGUAGCAUGGCAAUCUAUGGUUUGCUAGGAUAGUGAAGGUUAUGGGCUAUAUCAUGGCAAAUGUUAGGCUUGCAAACAAGUGGUAGGUAGCGAGACCGGACAAUAGCAUCGUGACAUCUAGCAAGCAAAGUUAGUAAUCAUAUCCAAGAUAAUGAUCAUUCUUGUGUGAGAUUCCACUUUGAAGAUCGAAACCACAAAGUGUAGUCGAACAAAAUCCUUGUACUUCGUAUCGUUAUCGGGAGCUAACGAGAAGAAGAAGAACCGGAAAGAAGCAAACGGUAUGAUAAACAAACAUAUCAUGGCAUAAUGACAAUCAGCAUGAAUCAUGACAAGUUUAAUGAUUUUACAUGGCAACCUAUAACUAGAAAAGUUAAAGAAAGCCUUGAUCCAUGUGUGGUAUGAAUCAAAUGAAACUCCAUAUGCAUUUUCUUUUCUUUUUUGAGCAAGUUAAACUCCGAGAUCAUGUCCCUUUUGCAUUUUAGUCACUAUUAUUUGGUUAACUCGCAAGUUCUUGAUACUUGCGUAAAAUUUGACAAAUGAUAUAUAUAUGUUUUUCGACUAGAGUUUCGCAAGCUGGUCGUACCAUCAUUCACACGCCUCACAACGAUGUCAAGAAACACCAUUGCAACGUGGAGGGAGUGGGGAUGAUUUUAUGCCGACAGCGACACCAUCGCCUCACCUUGACGAGUGGAGACCAAAAUAAAAAUUUGAAAGCCCACCAUAGCAUCGCGUGUCUCACAAAGUGAGAGCAGACUCAUGAUCGCAAGGGAGGAGGCAGAUUGGCGCUAUUGUCCUGGCUCAUAGAAUUUCACCCGAAGUGGAGGGGGAGGAAAACGCUUCAUAGCGCGAGGUGGGAUUGAUGAGUAGCCAUAUACUCGCUCCAUUUCAUUAUAUAAGGCCACACACUCAGAUUACAGGUACCAAGGUAAAAUUCAAUGACUGCAUCGUGAGCCUACUUUUUGUUUUGUUAACCGAGAUCAUUAAUACAACACAUGGAUACAAAGAAAAAAAUGAGAAGAAAGUAGUUAAGUAUUUUUUUUUAACGAAGACAAAAGAUUACCUCAUCUAUUAGUUAAGCGGAAGAGAAUUGCCCUACAUGUAUGCGAACUUUAAACAAGUUGCUAAUAUGAGGAAAUAUUGUUAAUUUUUUCCUCGGUUACUCUUGAUGGUUUUAUGUAGAUGUAAAAUGGUUUCUUUUAUAAUGACCUUGUAUAAAGAAACAGAGGAAACAAUAUUUUUGAAACGAAAAUAUGCACGCCGUAUUUCAGAAUCGAGAAAGAAAACUGCAAAAGCAAAGCAUCUUCUAGCGACGAACGGCCUUGCUCGGAAGCGUGCACCCGACGCUGCGUGAUUCCCCCCCACAAAACAAGGUGGGAUUCCCAGUUCGGAUGCCCCCAUGCCUGCGGUCGCUCGCUCUUGUAGUCUUCCUCAGCUCCGGUACACGGCGCUUUGCUUUGCUUUGAUCAUGGCGGGAUGCUUCUUUUCCGUUCGGUGAUGUGUCGACUCGCGAAUCUCGAUCGAUCGACGUGCCCCCCACUUGCGUGGACCAAGCUAUCAUGGAGAUGGCAAGCGGAACCCGAAAGAAGUUCACAUGCCCAAGGCGACGGUCGAGCCAGGCCAUUCAUUUUUCUGACAGAAACCACCGCACGGGACAUGUUGUUAGCAAGCUCAAACUUCACGUAGAAUUCUCUGGCAGAAACAAUGGCGUUUGCACUGAUCAUGCAUAUAUCCCCGCGUACAAGGCUGCACCUGUUGUAUUUUUACUCCAACCGUGUGAUGUGAACCCAUAUUUGUUUUGCUAAAAAACAGUUGAUCGAGACUUCAGGAAGCCUCAAUCCAUACUAUAAUCCGUUGAUUUUACAUUAAGAUUCGUGUAGAUAAAUUUUUUUUCUUGCAUACUAUACUACUUUGAGACUUCACGAAGUUUCAUUUGACUGAGACCUAGACACACCUAUUUACAUUGAGAUUUAUUAACUGCUCAACUCCCUGGGGUUCUCGAAACAUGGAGGACGUGCAACGCAAAAGUGUCCACAUAGAUCAACGUUCGGCUGGCGCAGGUGAGGUAGGUGAACCUGCCGGUGCACUAUCAAGUUUACGAGGCAAGCUCUUGUCUUGGUGCGAGUAAAACGGGAGGCGAACUGGACGGACGGCCACUGCUCGCCUCGCUUGCGUGGCCAUGUGUGCGCUGCCCUGCUAUUGUUGGGAAACAGUACAGUACAGCUUGAUUUUGGGGUCAGGGAAGCGUACAACUCAUGUGAGGUUUAGCCUGUCGUGUCGAUCUUGUUUGUUUCGAGGGCUUUGGCUAUUUGCUAGUAGGAAGUAGUACGGGACUUGGUGAAGUGAACCAACCACUUCUUUGACCGAUUUUAAAGUGCUGCGUACUCUUGUAAUCUGUUGGCGGGGCUUGGCUGGUGUGAUGGAGCUCGCCUGCCAAUAUGUGCACAUCCACCCGUGGAAGGAUCAGUUGAGAACGUGUCCGUGUGUCCGCGUCACGACAGCGACAAGGCAUCGACGCCGUGGGCCGGCCAAGAUCAGUUUCUUGACGCCGACAGUAAAUAAAAAGUAAAUAAAACACGGUUUACGAUAACACGUACACUCUCUCUCGUGACCGGUGGAAGUAAGAGGAUAACUUCUUUCAAUGAACUGUUUCCAUGAACUGGUCAAACGGGACCGGCCCGGAAGCACGCCAGCUCGGCACGGUAUGGGUUAAUCAGACCGUCUCAGGCACGCAGCCCGUCUCGGGCCUGAGGGCUGGGUACGCGGGCCGGCACGGCAUGACCCGUUUAUCAUAUUUACUAUUUAUUCCCCCCCCCCAUAUAUAUACAUAAUAAAUAAAAUAACCUAAUAAAUCAAAAUCGGUUCAAAACACAGUUCAAUAUGUUGGUCCAAAAAACAGCCAAACAUGUCAAAAUCAGCCCAAAUAACAGCCUAAAAUAAAAAAGAAAACUAAUAGGCUAGCGGGUCUGGCGUGCCACGGACCGGUCCGUAUAGCCUCCUUGUCGUGCCUGGACCGGGAGGCUGCGCACGUGGGCGGCACAACACGGCCCAGCUAAUAUUCGUGCCCGGGCGGGCCAUGUCGUGCCAAACCCGUUUAUGGGGCCGUGCCGGGCCGGCCCGUUUGACCAGGACUGAAUUGGUCCUUUGGGCAACACACACAUGCGCGCGCGCGCGCACACACACACAAUGGUUCUUUUUUUUAAGAAAACUUGCCACUUUAUUUAUCGCAUUUAAAAUGUCAGGUACAUGAACGAAAUUGGGUGUGGCAAUAAAAAAAUGGUUCUUUGUUUUAUGCAUGGUGUUUGACACUAGUUGGGCAGGUUCCUAAGAUUGUCGAUGUCCAAAUUUAUAACUGCCCAGUUUGAUCCAGCAAAAUCUAUGACUUAUAAUUCUGAAAAAUAGACAAAAUUUACCCUAAGAAAAUACUCUUCGUUCCUAAAUAUAAGACCUUUUAAAAAUUUCGCUUUCAACUACAUUCGAUGUAAAAUGAGUGAAUCUAUACUCUAAAAUAUGUCUACAUACAUCCGUAUUUAGUUCAUAGUGAAAUAUCAAAAAUGUCUUAUAUUUUAAAACGAAGGGAGUAAUUGUUACAGAGUUUUUGUUGAAAACCCCUCACAUAUGUUAAUCAAUUAAAAUAUUCAUACAAUCAUCCAUUACAUCUUUCUCCACACAAGGCGGAUCAUACCUAUUCACAAAACUAAACUUGGCAAUCAAGUGUGCCAUCCUAUUGCCCUUUCUUUUAAUCUUGGACAUCUUGAACUCUGUCAACAUUUUAGAGACACCCAACGCUUCUUUCUUUAGAACAACAAAGGGAGACAUGUCACACAAAUAUCUUUUGGAGGCCUAGCUUCAUGGAGGCCUUCAAAUGCGAAAUUUAAAUUUCACGAAAAUUCAUAUUUUACAUGUUAUUUUUUAUAAAAAAAAUACAUAAAUAGAUGAAAGUAUAAUGCAUAAGUGUGUACAUUUUUAGGACUAAAUACGUUGAAAUGAGGGCUGUGCAAAAAAGACAAUUCUGAGACUUUUAAACAAAUGAUACUAUUCAUCAUUUUAGACCAUGGAAUUGUCUUUCUUUGUAUAGGUUGUGUUUCAAAGUAUUUCAACCUAGAAUUUUACACACAUGCGGCUCACAUCCUCGUUUAGUUAUACAAUUAUUUUUACAUUUUUUUGAAAUCAAUUUUUUCUAAUUUUGAAUUUUUGAAAAAUUCGGCCUCCAUGGAGGCCAAGAGCCAAAACGCCAUUCUCGACAUGUCAAGAUUAUCAUUUCCAAGCAAUAGAACCACAAAAGAACAACCAGUUUUCAAAAUGGUAGUUGUGCAGAGUGAUACCGAUAUAAAGAACAACGAGGAUCACUCUAAGUUUCACUUCAUCCGCACUAUUGCAAGCCUCAAUAUAAUCCGAGGAGAAAAUGAUAACUUCUGCAGUUUUGUUUCGGGAAACUCCCCCCCCCCCUUGUCGUGCUAAUGACCUUCAGAAAACUUGCAUCGACACUAAUCAGGAACUCCGAAGCGUGAGGCUGCCAAGAAAGAAAAAAUUCCUCUCCACAUUACUGGUGGAUUUCACUGCAUCUUUACAUUUGUUGCUGACCUUCACCUGCUUAUUGGUAUGAAACGACGAAAAAGACGCCCAAUAAUUUUGCAUAAAGCUCACAGAGGUAGAGACAACUUCCUUUCCCUUACCAUAGGUCAAAUCAUUUCUCAAAUGCCAUGAUCUUCAAAAGAUGAAUAUAAUUGACUCACACAAAUGCAACCCUAAUUGAUCCAUCAAAAUAAAUAACAAAUAUGAACCAUAAAAUUCAAAGAUCUCUUCACUCGGUAAAUUCCAAACCUCCUUCAAACUCCAUAAAAGUGCACAAGCCUUGGGACAUCUUAGCGAGCAUGAAAAACACAUUCAUCUUCAACACACCUGGAAAUUGAGCACAAGCCAUGAAUAGCUUGAUGAUGUUUUACUCUGUUAACUUGAUCCGCCAAACUAUUAGAAGUAGCAUACCAUGCAAAUAUUUUGAUUUUCCUAGAAACAUAAGCCUUACAAAUAAUAUUCGAGAGCCUUCUUUCCCAUUCAAAACAACAAUGGAGCUCCCUAACUACUUUAUUGUCCUUGAGAUUUAGUGCCAACCUAUACGUACUCUUUAUCAAGAAUAACCCUUUUUUCGUAGUGCCAAGCAAUAAAAUCUUCAUCUCCCAAAGUCAGAAUGAGCAACUUUAAAAUUUCCUCGACAUCAUGGGGGGUAAACAUAUGUAUGAUCGGAUUCUCACCACAUCUUCUUGAACCACUCAUGAAUAACUCAGACAUCCAUUUGAGCCUCUUCUUAGCAAACAAAAUUAGCCGGAGUCUCUAGGAAGCAAAUUAUCCCUCCAUAUGUGUAUACUAGCACCAUUGGAAACUCUCCAUAUAACACCCUUUUUCAACAGCUCGGGACCAUGCAUAAUAACUUGCGAAAUAACCGACACCUCUUGAGGGACGACAAUAUCAAUAAGAUAUCCAUGGGGUUAAUAUUUUUCUUUAAUCACCUUUGAACAUAAUCCAAAAAAAACCAAUAAUCAUCAAGCUUGUUUCACCAGAAGCACAUGAUUACAUAGUCUAAUAUCUCGAAACCCUAUAGCUCCCGCACCUUUGGGUCUUGCCAUCUUGUCGUACGCAAGCCAAUAAGUUUUUCUCCUAUUCUCCUCAUCACCCAUCAAUUUUUUUGAUGAUCUAGGAUAAUUAUUCACAAAUCCAUGCAUAACAUUUAAAGAUGCCCAUGGCAUAGGCCGGUAGCGCCUGAAUGACCGACUUAAUCUGGAUUUCCUUCAUCCCACUAGAAGCAUAUUAUUCAAUCUAGUCCAAAAACUACUUUAGCGCUUUAUCUUUGGUAGACUAAAAUUGCCGCCUUCAUUCUACUUGCUCGCACAGGUAAACCAAGAUAUCCUCUCAAAUCCAUCAACCAUGAUUUGAAUUACAACCAAAAUGGGCACUGAUCUUUUAGACAACACAUUUUGCCAAAUAAAAUGGAGCAUUUAUCUCGGUCCAAUAGUUGACCUUUCCCCUCCUCAUAAACCUAAAAAUUCUUCUAAUGGUCAGGGCUUGCUACAAAGAACCCUUGAAAAUAGGAGACUAUCAUAAAAAAACUGUGAGAAUGUCUGUGCAGCCGAAACUCCUAGAUAAUCCCUCUCACAUACGCAUCAUUAAGUAACAAUGGAAGGGCUUCAACCACAAAAGGAACAAGUAUGGAGAUAAAAUGAUUACUUUGCGAGUGACGAUGCAAAAGUUGAAAGAUUCUAACAGAUAGCCAUUAAAACACGCUAAAAAUUUCACUAAAACAACAUAAAUCAUAAUUCACUUAACCCAAACUAGAGCAAAACCAUAUGCUCUCACCAUACUUUCCAAGAAAUUCUAGUCCACACGGUCAUAUGCUUAGAGAGUUUCAACUUGCAUGCAGACUAUUUGUGUCGAAAAUCUUUCAAAAACCUCUAUGAUUGCAUACAUCCAAAGCAAUAAUAGCACUAUCUGAAAUUAAUCUUUCAAGAAUGAUAACACUUUGGGUAGGAAAAAUCAUACCAUCCAACAAAGGGCUCAGUCUAUUAACAAGACACUUGAAUAUAAUUAUAUAUAUGACAUCACAUAAAGUGAUUGGUAAAAAAUCUUUUUCGACCCAGGGUUCUCCACUUUAGGAAUAAGCACAAUAGUUGUAUUAUUUAUCCCUUCCAGCGUGCUUCCAGAAAUAAAGAACAAUUGAACAACAUGAAAAAUAUCUCCCUUGAGUAAACCCUAAUUCCUUUGAAAAAAAACAGCUAGAAAUCCAUCUGGCCUUGAAGCCUUCAACGAACCUAUUUGGAAGAGAGCAUCACUAAUCCCUUGUUGAGAAAAUGAUUUGCAAAGGUCCUCAUUCAUGGUAUGUGACUCUAUGGUAAACACAUCUCAUAUUAUUCCACGUGUGUAACCUUUGGUAAAUGAUUACAGAGAUUUUUGUGUAUGGGAUGGCGAGGUCGCGGUGAGGCGCUGAGCUGCUGCGGGGUUUGGCGGCGACAACAGGCGUGCAGGCGGCGACAGUGUCGUCAUAGGGCGACGCAGUGUGGGCUAGAGCUCGUCUGUGGUGUGGCGGUUGCGCGAGGGGGGGGGGCUCGUCCUCACGCGGAUGCGUGCAUGCUGGUUCCCGGCCAGAUCAGGCUCUAGGUAGCUCGCGGGAGGUGCGGGGUUGGCAGCGACUCAUUCGAUGGUGUCGCGACAUGAGCGGAUGGCGGCGACGUCUCUGUCUAUGUGGCAUUUGCGGGUGUUGGGCCUUGGGUGGAUGCGAGCACAGUUGGGUGGCCGGUCCUAACGACCUGACACGCGACACGGGAGACGGGUGGCGCACUGAUGGUUGCGUUGGUGGCCAGCCAGGUGUGGUACAUGGGAGGCAGGCCAGGACAUCGCCCCUGCGCCGAAUCUGGCAUGGUUUCGGGUGUAUGUGGGGGGACUUGAAGUGCCUUCGACUGGAGGUUGCUCGGUGUGGCUGUUGUGAUGGUCGGAGAGCGUGAUGGUGGUUCCUGGGAACGCGCAAGGAUGGUUGGUUGCACGUUGCUCUAGCCGUUUAUUCCCCUGGCUGCGGGUGUGUGGAAGUGGGUCACACGACUUCUUGGCGGAGCUAGACUGGGGCUGGAGGUGGUGGCUAGCUGGAGGUGGAUUGCGUGAGUGGCCUUUGGAGGCGGCCCCGACGACAAGAGUUGUCGGCUACCUACGACAUCCCUGUCUCGAUGUGAACGAUCAGAUCUGAUGGGGCAGUCUUCGCCCUCCUCGAUGGUGUUCUCCCAAAGUUGGUUGAGAGCGCCAUUGUCCCUUGGCCAUAUCUCACGAUGUCGAGUGGGGACCCAAGGUUGUUGGGGUGGCGUCUGAAAGUGCAUCAUUGCCCUGAAUUAUUUUUGACAUCUAUGACAAUUUCAUUUGUAUUUCUAAACACAUGCUCUAGUGUAAACAUCUCCGACAAAAGUAAAGAGAAGCAUGGAUAUGGUUAUUUCCCCUCUACUCGGAAAAAGGAAAAGUCAGAGUUCCAUGAAAGUUUUUCUUUCUUUCUUGAGUCCUUAGGGCAACUGCACUAUUAAGAGGGGAUGCAUCGUGAAAAUUAUCUAGGAAUCAACUCUUCAUAAAAACAAGUUCUCGAAAACCAAUUCUAAGAUCUGUCAAAAUUGACACUGCAAAGCCUCUGUCUUAGGUCAGAACUUCCGGGGCGGACGGAACUUCCCGGGACCAUAAGGCCCGAGGAGCUUCCGGGCCAACCAGAGAAACUGCCAGCCUCUGUGCAAUGUUUCUGUUUAGGCUGGAACCUUGCCAGACCCUGGCCGAAACUUCGAGGGAGGCCGGAACUUCUGUCCCGAUCCUGUCUGCUUUCGAGGGACUCCAACCGGGUGCAAUCAUUCUAUUCAAACCGGUACCUUCGCGGAGCCUGGUCGUAACUUCCGGGGUGCGGAACCUCCGGUCCCCCCGGAACUUCCGGGGUUGGCAGAAAUGUGGCCCCCAACGGCUGGAUUUCUUCCCCACCUAUAAAUAGCCUUCUCCUUCCCGAGGCACCGUAAAAACUCCAUUUUUCUCACUCCACCAUUUUCAAACCUCUAUUUCUUAGAGUUCCCCCUCCUUAGCCAACCAAAGCUCUUGAUGUUUUGAGGAGUGAAGGAGGAGUUCCUGAUCUACACAUUCACCAAAGAAAAAGUUGAUCCCCCUUGUUUUCAGGAUGCAUCUUGUAACUCUUGGAGGUUGGAGACUCUUAGGCGGUAGGAGUACUCCGACGAGGAAUCGUUCAUUGUGAUUACCCCCAAAAAGUUUGUGAGGGUUUGGAGACCACCCCAAGGUCUACCACUAGUGGUUGAGAAUCGCCUUCGUGGUGUUGUAUCAAAGAGAUAAUAGGGUGGGCCUUCCUAGCGUUGGUGUGCCUUUGUGGUAACAUCCACAUUUCUAAACGGUGACAUAGCUUCCCUCCAAUAAAUUGAACAUCGGUAUACAUCCUCGUCUCUAGGAGUUGUGGUUAUCUCUAACCCUAAUCCUCUACUUGUGGUUAUUUUUCUUUGUGAUAUUUCUUAUAUUACUUGUAUUACAUGUGCUUAACUCUUUAAUUAAUUGUUGUAUUGCUUAGUACGCGUAGCACGACUACCAUCUUUGCAAUUGUUAGGCUCACCUUCAUAUUCUGCAUUACUGCCUAAAAUUGCUAAGAAACAAUUAAAAAUUGUAAUCGUACCUAUUCACCCCCUCUAGGACCAUCUCGAUCCUUUCAAUUGGUAUCAGAGCCUCGUGCUCUAAUUUAGUGGCUUAACCGUCCUAGAUCGAGAUGGAUAAGGUUGGGAACCCGUUGCGUGCUCCUCCUCUUGAAGGAGAAGCUUCAUCCAUAUAUGAAGGGAGAUAUUUCACUUCUUAAGAUCUCGAACGGAUCCUCGCUAAGAAGAACGAGGAGCAUGAUGCUUCUAUUGAGGCUUUGGUAAAAGUGAGGUUGGAAGCAUUUGGUGCGAAAAUUACAUCACCGGAGAACCCAAUUCGUGUGUUAAAAUAAUCAAUUGCAUCCAUUCCUAAUUCGGGGCAACAACCUCCACCUCACAACAAUAUCGGUGUUCCUUGGCUAUAUGCUGAACCUAGAGUGGAGAAACCUAAGUAUAAUAUUUUGGGAAAUCCUCCUUUACUUGAUGACACUGCCGAUUUUUCUUUGUGGAGAGUUGGUAUGCAGGAUCAUCUUAGGUUUGCCAACGAUGAAAUGCCGGAGAUCUUGGAGAAAGGUUACAACCCUCUGAACCCCAAGGAUCUCACACCGAGUGAAGUAUAUGACAGACACCUCAAUGGCACCACGAUCAUGCUCAUAAGAAAAGGCAUGCGUGACAAGCAGAAAAGGCCUUACAUUCACGUAUCAAAUGCAAAAGAACUUUGGGAUAGCAUUAUGAUGACAAAGACGGGAACAUCCUCUCUUCGUCUUGCACAAUAUGAGAUAGCAAAAGGAGCAUUGCAAUACUUCUGCAUGUAGAAAGGAGAGACCCCAAGCAUCUUCUUGAAAGAUCGAUGACACUUGCUGUCGACAUAGAAUCAUAUGACUGUGACAAGAGUCGAGAUGGAUUCAAUCUGACGAAACGGUUUCUUGUGGAUAAAAUUCUAAAUGCUCUUGCCCCGUACCACCAUCAAAUGGUAUGGGACAUAAGGAGAGAACAUGGUUUUAAGGACAUAUCUCUUGAUGAUGUCAUCUCUGCCUUCCAACUAUUCCAAGAAUCAAAGGCCAAUGCUACAAGGCAUCUUGCCAUGCAUGGCUCCUCAUCACCCAAGACAAAUCUUGCGUUGAAGGCCAAACACGUGAAGGAUGACGAUGAUGUCAGUGAAGAAGAAGAGGAACAUGAAGAGGAAGGCUAUGAAGAUGAAUCAAAUGACGAGCUCUCAUAUGAAGACAUGGAUCUUUGUCAAGAAGUUUAGUGCUGGAAAAUUCAAGGGAAUAUUCCAAAAGAAGAAAGUAAGGACUUGUUACAAUUGUGAAUAAACCAACCACUUCUCAAACAAGUGUCCUUAUGAUAAGAGAGAAGACAAACCAAGAUUUCUGAAGACCUUUGUGAAGAAGAAGUUGCCUAACCCAUUAAAAUCCAAGUUCAGAAAAAGAGAUGGGAAGGCAAUGGUUUCUCAAGAUGAAUCCGGCCCCGAUGAUGUUGGGGGUGUUGUAGCAUAGCACAAGACACUCAAACCACAUUAAUACUGUUCAACAAAAGUUGUGAUGUUGUCACAUACAACUACAUGAAAGACUACAAAGGUAAUGCACACAAAUGCCUCAUGGCUCAAGAUGUGAUGGAAGAUGAUGAGGGACAGACAUCUUGAGACAAGGUGAAGGUAACUCCACGACCUAACCCUUCUCUAUUUUCCUCCAACACAUCUAGUGAUGAAUAUGUUGAUGCUCAGGAUCGUGAUCAUGAGACUGAAAUUAGUGAUGCUAUGUUUGCUAAAAUGAAGAAAGUCAUGUGCUCCCUCAAAGGAAAGAAGAUCAUUACGUUUCGUAUGCUUAUGGAGAUGGUGAGUAAGGACGCCACUUCCAUUAAGAACACAAAAACCUCGUUACCGAGGAAAAGGACAAAUGCGAAAUCCUUGAGCAGAAAGUCCUAUAUGAGGAAGCACAUAAUGACAAAUUGUGCUUAAAAAUAGGUGCAAACAUUGAUAAGAACACUGAAGAACUUGCCUCUUUAACAAAGACUGGAAAUGAUUAUGAAGUGUUAAAAAGAGACAAACGUAAGUUUGACGAGUCUCACUCCGCUCUUUCUAAAGAUUGUGAGCUCUUACAUUUGUCUCUCAAGACAAAGGAGGUAGAUCUCAACACUCUUACAAAGAAGUUUGACAAACUCAAGCUUACAUAUCUUAACAUUCUAGGCAAAGUUUACUCCUCUCCUGUUGUAAAUGUUGAUGCUUGUGCUACUAAUCCCAGUGGUGACCUAGCUAGUGUUCUUGAGGAGAACCGGUUGCUAAAAGCUCAAGUUGAAAAAGGGCUCAUGUCAUGUGCCCAAGGACAAAAGAACCUCAAUGAAGUGUUGAGUCAACACAAGGAGGUUGUGGCGAAAGAAGGGCUUGCAUUUUAUCCAAGCCGGAACAGGAAUGCAAUAACGAUACAUAAGUCCACUGCUCCUCUCGAGGAGAUAUUUGUUCGGAAAGGGCACAAGGAAGACAGAUUGGGAGACGUUGAGAAGGUUGCGAGUAGGAAGGCCACUAGGGGCCAGCCUGCUCCCAACAAGCCAAAAGAAUGCAUGCCUCCAUCAUAUGUGCUCCGUAAGGCAAAAGAUGGAGCUGUGUAUGCUAAAUUUUUUGCCCUCGAAAUGCUUUUCGAUUCUAUGCAAUUUGGGUGCCUAAGACCCUUGUUACUAACAUGAGGGGUCUGAUGUCUACUACACUACCUUCUCCUUGUAGACGUUGUUGGGCCUCCAAGUGCAGAGGCUUGUAGGACAGUAGCAAUUUUCCCUCAAGUGGGUGACCUAAGGUUUAUCAAUCCGCGGGAGGCGUAGGAUGAAGAUAGUCUCUCUCAAGCAACCCUGCAACCAAAUAACAAAGAGUCUCUUGUGUCCCCAACACACCUAAUACAAUGGUAAGUUGCAUAGGUGCACUAGUUCGGCGAAGAGAUGGUGAUACAAGUGCAAUAUGGAUGGUAGAUAUAGGUUUUUGUAAUCUGAAAUUACAAAAACAGGAAGGUAACUAGUAAAAAAAGUGAGCACGAACGGUAUUGCAAUGCGUGGAAACAAGGCCUAGGGUCCAUACUUUCACUAGUGAAGUUUUCUCAACAAUAAUAACAUAAUUGGAUCAUAUAAAUAGCCCUCAACAUGCAACAAAGAGUCACUCCAAAGUCACUAAUAGCGGAGAACAAACGAAGAGAUUAUUGUCUGGUACGAAACCACCACAAAGUUAUUCUUUCUGAUCGAUCUAUUCAAGAGUCCGUAGUAAAAUAACACGAAGCUAUUCUUUCCGUUCGAUCCAUCAUAGAGUUCGUACUAGAAUAACACCUUAAGAUACAUAUCAACCAAGACCCUAAUGUCACCUAGAUACUCCAUUAUCACCUGAAGUAUCUGUGGGCAUGAUUAUACAUAUGCAUCACAUCAUCUCAGAAUCAUCUAUUCAACCAACACAUAGAACUUCAAAGAGUGCCCCAAAGUUUCUACCGGGGAGUCAAAACGUGUGCCAACCCCUAUGCAUAGGUUCCCAAUGUCACGAACCCGCAAGUUGAUCAACAAAACAUACAUCAAGUACUCACAUGAAUCAAACGUGUGCCAACCCAUAUGCAUAGGUUCCAAAUGUCACAAACCCGCAAGUUGAUCACAUCAGAUAGACACGUGAAAGACAUACAUCAAGUGUUCUCAAAGACUCAAUCCGAUAAGAUAACUCCAAAGGGGAAACUCAAUUCAUUACAAGAGGGAGAGGGGGAAGAACAUCAUAAGAUCCAACUAUAGUAGCAAAGCCCAUGGUACAUCGAGAUCAAGAUAUCCCAAGAACACGAGAGAGAGAGAGAGAUCAAACACAUAGCUACUGGUACAUACCCUCAACCCUGAGGGAGAACUACUCCCUCCUCUUCAUGGAGAUUGUCGGGAUGAUGAAGAUGGCCACCGGAGAUUGAUCCCCCCUCUGGCAGGGUGCCGGAACGGGCUCCAGAUUGGUUUUUGGUGGCUACGGAGGCUUGCAGCGGCGGAACUCCCGAUCUAGGUUUCUUUUUGUGGGUUUCUGAAUUUACAGGAAUUUAUGGCGGUGGAAUUAUGUCGGUUGGGCCCACGAGGAGGUCACAAGCCUGGUUGCCACAACCUAGGGGGUGGUGGCGGCGUCAGGGCUUGUGACUCCCUCGUGGCUCUUCUGGCCUUCUUUCAAAGCUUCGGGGGUCUCUUUUGGUCCAAAAAAAUCAUCGUAAAGUUUCAUUCCAUUUGGACUCCGUCUAAAAAUGGGCCAAAAACACGAAAAAAACAGAAACUGGCACUUGGCACUGAGUUAAUAGGUUAGUCCCAAAAAAUAUAUAAAAUAGCAUAUUCAUGCAUAUAAACAAUCCAAAGUUGACAAGAUAAUAGCAUGGAACCAUAAAAAAUUAUAGAUACGUUGGAGACGUAUCAAGCAUCCCCAAGCUUAACUCCUGCUCGUCCUCAAGUAGGGAAGUGAUAAAGAAUGAAUUUUUGAUGCUUUCAUGCUACCUAGCAUAGAUGUCCUUUGUAACUCCUCUUAUGUGACAUGAAUGUUCAGAUCCGUUAGAUUCAAAACAAUAGUUUGCUAUUGACGUGGAAACAAUAAUUAUUGAAGCAAACUAGCAAGGUAAUCAUGAACUUUCGAAAUAACAAGGCCAAAAGAAAGUUAUCCCUACAAAAGCAUAUAGUCUGGCUAUGCUCUAUCAUCAUUGCACAACGAAUUUAAAUCUUGCACAACCCCGUUAUUGGCCAAGUAAUUGUUUCACGCCUUUACUUUCUCAAACCUUUUCAACUCUCACGCAAUACAUGAGCGUGAGCCAUGGUUUUAGCACUAUAGAUGGUGUGGAGUGUGGUGGAGGUUGCAAGACAAAAAAGGAGAAGAUAAUCACAUUAACUAGGCAUAGCAAUGAGCUGUGGAAAUGCUCAUCAAUAGAUAUCAAUGUAAAUGAGUAGGGAUUGCCAUACAAAUGAUGCACUAGAGCUAAGAGUAUGUGAAAGCUCUUUAAAGAAAACUAGUGGGUGUGCAUCCAACUUGCUUGCUCACGAAGACCUAAGGCAAUUUUGAGGAAGCCUAUCAUUGGAAUAUACAAGCCAAGUUAUAUAAUGAAAAUUUCCCACUAGCUAUAUGGUGGUGACAAAACGAGAUACUCUCAAUCAUGAAGAUCAUGGUGCUUAAUAUCCACAAGUGUGGAAAAGUGGUAGCAUUGUCCCUUCUCUCUUUUUCUCUCAUAUAUAUUUUUUGGUGGGCUCUUUGGCCUCUUUAUUAUUAUUCCCCCCCCUUUAUUUUGGUGGGCAUCUUUGGCCUAUUUUAUUUCCUCACAUGGGACAAUGCUCCAUCAAUGAUGAUCAUCACACUUUCAACACAAAACUUAGAGCAACGAUGACUCCAUAUGGAAUGCCUUCGGUAGUGUACCGUGACAAUGAUCUAGCAUGGCAUAGACAUUAAAUGAAACAUCAUGCUAGCUAUCUUAAGAUCAUGCAAUGGAAAUUUAGAUGUGGUGGCACAUGUCAUGGUGGUAUUUGCAUGGAAAUAUAUCUUGGAAUGACUUUGAAAAAUCCAUAGUAGGUAGGUAUGGUGGCUGUUUUGAGGGAGGCUAAUGGUGGGUUUUGUGCACCGGCGAAAGUUGCACGACACUAAGAAGAUAGUGAUGGUGGUAAGUGAAAGUGCAUCUAAACCAUGGACUCAACAUUAAUCAUGAAGAACUCAUAUACUUGUUGCAAAAGUUUUAUUAGUAAUCGAAACAAAGCAUACAACGCAUACUCCUAGGGGAAGGGUUGGUAGGUAUAAACCAUCGCGCGAUCCCAACCGCCACGCAAAGGAUGACAAUCAAUAUACUAAUCAUGCUCAGAUUUCAUCACAUAGCGGUUCACCAUACGUGCAUGCUACGGGAAUCACUAACUUCAACACAAGUAUUUCUAGAUCCACAACACCUUACUAGCAUGACUUUAAUAUUACCAUAACCACAACUCAAAACUAAUUGAGAUGAAUCAAACUCCUCUAACUAUUCAAUGCACAUGAAGGUGGAAGUUUUCGUAUCCCUUUUUAUAACUACCCAUUUUGAGGCUACUUUCAAAGCAUAGAUCAACUACCAAGCCACGCACCGCUGCGCUCUAAAAGAUAUAAGCGAAGUACAUAGAGCAAAAGUAUCUAGCUCAAAAGAUAUAAGUGAAGCACAUGUGAGUUGAAUUGUCUACCACAAGAUAUAAGUGAAGCUCGACAAAAUCAUGGUGUGUGCAUGUCUCUCUCUCUAGGUGUGCAGCAAGGAUGAUUGUGACACAACAAAAAUCAAAGACUCCUACGAUACAAGAUGCUCCAAGCAAAAACACAUAACAUGUGGCGAAUAAAAAUAUAGCACCAAGUAAUGUUAUCGACGGAUUGAAGACGAGAGAGGGGAUGCCUUCCCGGGGCAUCCCCAAGAUUAGGCUUUUUCGGCAUCCUUGAAUCAAAUUGGGGUGCCUUGGGCAUCCCCAAGCUUGAGCUCUUGCCAAUCUUUAUCUCUUUGUCCAUAAGAACUUCACCCAGAACUUGAAAACUUCACAACACAAAACUUAAACAGAAACUCGUGAUAUCAUUAGUAUAAGAAAGAAAAUCACCACUUCCUUAGGUACUGUAGCAAACUUAAAUUCUACUUAUGUUGGUGUUGGGUUGCUAUAUUUUCACUUUUCCAUGGCUAGUACCCUCCGAUACUAUCCAUAAUUUCAUCAAAAUAAGCAACCAACUCAACAAAAAAACAGAAUCUGUUAACAACAGACCAGUCUGUAGCAAUAUGUAUACUUCGUAUACUUCUGGUACGUCAAAAACUCUGAAAAAUUACUACAGUCUGAAGAAAUUGCAUAGAAAUCAGCAGCAAAAAGAAUCAACUCAAAAUCUCUUACAGAAUAAAAAUGAAAAUUCUUUUCGUGAGCAGAAAGUUUCUGUCUUUUUCCAGCAUGAUCAAACAAUCAUCACCAAGACUAAUCAUAACGGUUUUGCUUGGCACAAACACAAAAAGAAACACAAAAUACACAAUCAUAACAGAAUUAUGAUGGUGUGGAGAAAACAAAACAGGAACCAAAAAGCAAAGAAAAAUUUAUUCAUUGGGUUGCCUCCCAACAAGCGCUAUCGUUUAACGCCCUUAGCUAGGCAUUGAUUUCAAUGAUGCUCACAUAAAAGGUAAGGAUUGAAACACAACGAGAGCAUCAUGGAGCAAAUGGCUAGCACAUUUAAGUCUAACCCACUUCCUGGAUUUUGUGAUCAAACAAUUUAUUGGAGCAAUAAUCAACUAGCAUAGGAAGGCAAAACAAGCAUAGCUUCAAACAUUUCAACAUAUGGAGAGGAAGCUUGAUACUAUUGCAAUAAGUAGAAGCAUAUGAUCCUCUCUCAUAGUAAUUUUUAGUAACAUCAUGAAUGAAUUCAACAAUAUAACCAGCACCUAAAGCAUUCUUUUCAUGAUCUACAAGCAUAGAAAUUUUACUACUCUCCACAUAAGGAAAUCUUUUCUCAAGAAUAGUAGUGGGAUUAUCGUAAAAGACUUGAGCACUACAAAUUGUGUCCACUAUGAAAAAGCAAGGUUUAGCAAAGGGGUUUUAGAAAGUAUGACAAGUUUUAUCAUCCCUCUUCUUCAAAGCAUAAGUAUUCUCACAAUAAUCAUCAAAGAUAGGGGGCAUUCUUUCAUCAAAAUAAUUUUGAUCAUUCAAAGUGGAAGAACUAAAAAUAUCAUCUUCAUCAAAUAUAGCAUCCCCAAGCUCGUGGCUUUGCAUAUCAUUAGCAUCAUGGGUAUUCAAAGAAUUCAUGCUAAAAACAUUGCAAUCAUGCUCAUCCUUCACAUAUUCUAUGCCAAGCAUUCUAUGUAAUUCUUCUUUCAGCACUUGAGCACUAUUUUCCUUCCCAUAAUGCUCACGAAAGACAUUGAAAAGAUGGAGCAUAUGAGGCAUCCUCAAUUCCAUUUUUUUGUAGUUUUCUAGCUAAAGAACAAGAAACAAAAAGAUUCGAUUGCAAGAUCUAAAGAUAUACCUUCAAGCGCUAACCUCCCUGGCAACGGCGCCAGAAAAGAGCUUGAUGUCUACUACGCAACCUUCUCCUUGUAGACGUUCUUGGGCCUCCAAGUGUAGAGGGUUGUAGGACAGUAGCAAUUUUCCCUCAAGUGGGUGACCUAAGGUUUAUAAAUCCAUGGGAGGCGUAGGAUGAAGAUGAUCUCUCUCAAGCAACCCUGCAACCAAAUAACAAAGAGUCUCUUGUGUCCCCAACACACCUAAUACAAUGGUAAGUUGUAUAGGUGCACUAGUUCGGCGAAGAGAUGGUGAUACAAGUGCAAUAUGGAUGGUGGAUAUAGGUUUUUGUAAUCUGAAGUUACAAAAACAGCAAGGUAACUAGUAACAAAAGUGAGCACGAACGGUAUUGCAAUGUGUGGAAACAAGGCCUAGGGUUCAUACUUUCACUAGUGAAGUUCUCUUAACAAUGAUAACAUAAUUGGAUCAUAUAACUAGCCCUCAACAUGCAACAAAGAGUCACUCCAAAGUCACUAAUAGCGGAGACCAAACGAAGAGAUUAUUGUCGGGUAUGAAACCACCACAAAGUUAUUCUUUCUUAUCGAUAUAUUUAAGAGUCUGUAGUAAAAUAACACGAAGCUAUUCUUUCCGUUCGAUCCAUCAUAGAGUUCGUACUAGAAUAACACCUUAAGAUACAUAUCAACCAAGACCCUAAUGUCACCUAGAUACUCCAUUGUCACCUCAAGUAUCCGUGGGCAUGAUUAUACGAUAUGCAUCACAUAAUCUCACAAUCAUCUAUUCAACCAACACAUAGAACUUCAAAGAGUGCCCCAAAGUUUCUACCAGAGAGUCAAAACGUGUGCCAACCCCUAUGCAUAGGUUCCCAAUGUCACAAACCCGCAAGUUGAUCACCAAAACAUACAUCGAGUACUCAGAUGAAUCAAACGUGUGCCAACCCANNNNNNNNNNNNNNNNNNNNNNNNNNNNNNNNNNNNNNNNNNNNNNNNNNNNNNNNNNNNNNNNNNNNNNNNNNNNNNNNNNNNNNNNNNNNNNNNNNNNCAAAGAAGAUUACAUCGGAUAGAUCUCCAUGAAGAUCAUGGAGAACUUUGUAUUGAAGAUCCAAGAGAGAGAAUAAGCCAUCUAGCUAAUAACUACGGACCCAUAGGUCUGAAGUGAACUACUCACGAGUCAUUGGAGGGGCGAUGAUGAUGAUGAAGAAGCCCUCCGACUCCAAAGUCCCCUCUGGCAGGGCGCCGGGAAGGGUCUCCAGAUGAGAUCUCGCGGAAACGGAAGCUUGCGGUAGCGGAAAAGUAUUUUCGAGGCUCCCCUGAUUUUUUGCGGAAUAUUUGGGAAUUUAUAGGCCAAAGAUCUAGGUCAGGGGGCGGCCAGGGAGGCCACAAGCCUGCCCACCGCCGCCUCCCCCCUGGUGGCGGAGUGGGGGCUUGUGGGCUCCCUGGAGCCCACCUGGCUUGGCCCAAAAGCCCCCGGGACUUCUUCCGUUCGGGAAAAAAUCAUUUUGGGUUUUUUCUUCCGUUUGGACUCCGUUCCAAAAUCAGAUCUGAAAAAAGUCAAAAACACGGAAAAAACAGGAACUGGCACUUGGCACUGAAUUAAUAAGUUAGUCCCAAAAAGAUAUAAAAAGGUACGUAAAACAUACAAAGAAGGCAAGAUAACAGAGUGAAACCAUCAAAAAUUAUAGAUACGUUUGAGACGUAUCAAUGACUUCAACAAACAAACAAGCACACAAGCAAGCAAGAAAACCGGCAAAGGAAAAUGGCAAAGGGCAAAAGAAAGCGGCAAAGGAAAACGACAAAAAGGCAAAAGAAAAAGGCAACGGAGAAAGGCAAAUGAAAAUGGCAAAUGUGAAGUGGGGGAGAGGAAAACGAGAGGCAACUGGCAAAAAAAGUAAAUGCAAGAGAUGAGUUUGUGAGACCUACUUGGAUAGAUCUCUCCUUCCCCGGCAACGGCGCCAGAAAUACUUCUGCUACUGCAACAAAAGACCUUCCAACGGCCCCAGAAACAAGCGUGCUGACGGAAGACUAUUCUUGUCUUGAUACUCCUCAGCAACGGCACCAGGAAUCCUUUUGCUACGGCUACGCCUUUAGGGACUUCCUUGGCAAAUAUGCAAAGGAUUCCCCCGUGGCCUUGGAGCCUUGCGUUGGUGUUCCCUCGAAGCGGAAAGGGUGAUAUNNNNNNNNNNNNNNNNNNNNNNNNNNNNNNNNNNNNNNNNNNNNNNNNNNNNNNNNNNNNNNNNNNNNNNNNNNNNNNNNNNNNNNNNNNNNNNNNNNNNACCCGUACCCGUAGCCGCCACCGUCGGCGCCCCAGGGCAGGAUCUUCCAGCUCUGGUUCUCGCCCUUGCAGAACUCCCAGAGGACGACGGCGGUGCCGUCGUGCACCCCGCCGUGGGGCUUGUCGCCGUGGAGGGCGUCGAAGCUGAGGCUGAGGUUGUUGACCAUGCGGAUGCAGCGGAAGCCCUUGCCGACGUCGUUGCUCUCCGUCCACAGCACCGACUCGUCCUCGAACGCCGGGUUGUAGGGGAUGAGCUUGACGGGGUGGGACUGGCCGAGCGAGUGCUUCACGGCCAGCCCCGUGGCCUUGUUCACCAGCGCGAACGCCGGGUGCCCCUCCGCGUCGCUCACCCUC